rnacentral:rRNA from 1 species
UACGGAGGGUGCGAGCGUUAUCCGGAAUUACUGGGUUUAAAGGGUGCGUAGGCGGCGUUGUAAGUCAGGAGUGAAAGUUUGCGGCUCAACCGUAAAAUUGCUUUUGAUACUGCGAUGCUGGAAUUAGGAUGAGGUCAGCGGAAUGUGGCAUGUAGCGGUGAAAUGCAUAGAUAUGCCAUAGAACACCAAUUGCGAAGGCAGCUCGUUACACGAAGAUUGACUCUGAGGCACGAAAGCGUGGGGACCAAACAGG